UGGGGAAUAUUGGACAAUGGGCGCAAGCCUGAUCCAGCCAUGCCGCGUGAGUGAUGAAGGCCCUAGGGUUGUAAAGCUCUUUCACCGGUGAAGAUAAUGACGGUAACCGGAGAAGAAGCCCCGGCUAACGUCGUGCCAGCAGCCGCGGUAAUACGAAGGGGGCUAGCGUUGUUCGGAUUUACUGGGCGUAAAGCGCACGUAGGCGGACUAUUAAGUCAGGGGUGAAAUCCCGGGGCUCAACCCCGGAACUGCCUUUGAUACUGGUAGUCUUGAGUUCGAGAGAGGUGAGUGGAAUUCCGAGUGUAUAGGUGAAAUUCGUAGAUAUUCGGAGGAACACCAGUGGCGAAGGCGGCUCACUGGCUCGAUACUGACGCUGAGGUGCGAAAGCGAGGGGAGCAAACAGG
rnacentral:rRNA from 1 species